rnacentral:rRNA from 1 species
UACGUAGGGGGCAAGCGUUGUCCGGAUUUAUUGGGCGUAAAGAGCGUGUAGGCGGCCAUACAGGUCAGCUGUGAAAACUCGAGGCUCAACCUCGAGACGUCGGUUGAAACCGUAUGGCUAGAGUCCGGAAGAGGAGAGUGGAAUUCCCGGUGUAGCGGUGAAAUUCGUAGAUAUUGGGAAGAACACCGGUGGCGAAGGCGGCUCACUGGCUCGUUUCUGACGCUCAGGCGCGACAGCGUGGGGAUCAAACAGG